rnacentral:rRNA from 1 species
CAAUGGGCCCAAGCCUGAUACAGCCAUGCCGCGUGAGGGACGAAGGCCUUCGGGUUGUAAACCUCUUUCGCCAGGGAAGAAACCGUUUGGGCUAAUACCCUGGGAAGAUGACGGUACCUGAAGAAUACGCACCGGCUAACUACGUGCCAGCAGCCGCGGUAAUACGUAAGGCGCAAGCGUUAAUCGGAAUUACUGGGCGUAAAGCGUGCGCAGGCGAACGUGCAAGACAGAUGUGAAAUCCCCGGGCUCAACCUGGGAAUUGCCUUUGUGACUGCAUGGCUUGAGUGCGGCAGAGGGGGAUGGAAUUCCGUGUGUAGCAGCGAAAUGCGUACAUAUGCGGAGGAACACCGACGGCGAAGGCAUUCCCCUGGGCCUGUACUGACGAUCAUGCACGAAAGCGUGGGGAGCAAACAGGAUUAGAUACCCUGGUAGUCCACGCCCUAUACGAUGACAACUGGGUAUUGG